CCUGCCCUGUACACACGGAUAACAUACCGAAAGGUAUGCUAAUACGAGAUAAUAUGCUUUUAUCGCAUGGUAGAAGUAUCAAAGCUCCGGCGGUACAGGAUGGACCCGCGUCUGAUUAGCUAGUUGGUGAGGUAACGGCUCACCAAGGCGACGAUCAGUAGCCGACCUGAGAGGGUGAUCGGCCACAUUGGAACUGAGACACGGUCCAA
rnacentral:rRNA from 1 species